UACGAAGGGGGCUAGCGUUGCUCGGAAUUACUGGGCGUAAAGGGCUCGUAGGCGGCCAACUAAGUCAGACGUGAAAUCCCUCGGCUUAACCGGGGAACUGCAUCUGAUACUGGAUGGCUUGAGUUCGGGAGAGGGAUGCGGAAUUCCAGGUGUAGCGGUGAAAUGCGUAGAUAUCUGGAGGAACACCGGUGGCGAAGGCGGCAUCCUGGACCGACACUGACGCUGAGGAGCGAAAGCGUGGGGAGCAAACGGG
rnacentral:rRNA from 1 species